UGAGGAAAGUUGGACUACUGGACAACUGAAAUAAUCCUCAGGCUGCGAGGUCUUAUUUGGUGAAUUGCUUGAGACUUCAAACUGCUUGUGGAACCCACGUAAGGUUGUAAGCGCAGUGAGCUGCUCCCUGAAUUAUUUUGCCAUCAUUAGGUGUUUCUUCUUAUGCCCUUUUAAGGUUUGGUUGGCGCAAAAAAUUACACAAUCGCUUG
rnacentral:lncRNA from 1 species